UGUGCGUCCUGUAAGCUGAGCAGCAAUCAAUGACCAUCUGUAAUGCCAUUUCGCAGUCAUUGAAUAGCUAAACUCGAUACAGAAUUAGAUUAAUCGGUGUACCGGUUGCCAACAACAGAGUGAAGCUUGACAAUGGUCUGUUCUUCCGCAUCCGAAAACUGGCCAUGCUUCAGAUCAGGACGAAGAUAAUUUGUCCACCGCAGCCUGCAGCUCUUCCCGCAUCUUUGAAGACCUUAAUUAAUUAUACAAGUAAAUAAAAACAAUUAGGUUAUAGCAUAAGAUGAAUGGAUGAUGUUAUGGAGAACAUUGAUGUGGAGGGAAAGGGGCAGAAACCAGCAUUCUUGGGGAUGAGCCGCCAGUUACGGGUGCCGUGUUGGGCGAUGUAAGAAGAGAGUUUGUUAUCUUCUUCAGGUGUCCAUUGUCCCCUUUUCACGUUGUCCUUCUCACAGCAUGGAAUCCUGCCCAUCUUUGUGUGCU